rnacentral:rRNA from 1 species
AAGUCGAACGAGAACCCUUGGAUUCGUCUGGGGGGGAGAGUGGCGAACUGGUGAGUAACACGUGGGUGACCUGCCCCGAGGACGGGGAUAACCGUUGGAAACGACGGCUAAUACCCGAUAUACUCGGUGAUUCGGUUCAUCGAGUAAAGGCUCCGGUGCUUCGGGAUGGGCCUGCGGCCUAUCAGCUAGUUGGUGGGGUAAUGGCCCACCAAGGCGAAGACGGGUAGGGGGCGUGAGAGCGCGGCCCCCCACACUGGCACUGAGAUACGGGCCAGACUUCUACGGAAGGCAGCAGUCGGGGAUAUUGCACAAUCGGCGAAAGCCGGAUGCAGCGACGCCGCGUGGGCGAUGAAGGCCUUCGGGUUGUAAAGCCCUUUUAUGGGGGAAGAGACAAGGACGGUACCCCAAGAAUAAGCGUCGGCUAACUACGUGCCAGCAGCCGCGGUAAAACGUAGGACGCAAGCGUUAUCCGGAUUUACUGGGCGUAAAGAGCGUUGAGGCGGUUCCGUAAGUUGGGCGUGAAAGCCCCGGGCUUAACCCGGGGAGGUCGUUCAAUACUGCGGGACUUGAGGGCAGCAGAGGGAGGCGGAAUUCCCGGUGUAGCGGUGAAAUGCGUAGAUAUCAAGAGGAACGCCAGAGGCGAAGGCGACUCGCUGGGCCUGACCUGACGCUGAGGUGCGAAAGCCAGGGGAGCGAACGGGAUUAGAUACCCCGGUAGUCCUGGCCCUAAACGAUGUCCACUAGGUCGGUGAGGUUCUAAUGCUUUGCUGGCCGAAACAAAAGCGUUAAGUGGACCGCCUGGGGAGUACGGUCGCAAGGCUAAAACUCAAAGGAAUUGACGGGGGCUCACACAAGCGGUGGAGCAUGUUGCUUAAUUCGAUGCAACGCGAAGAACCUUAUCCUGGGCUUGACGUACACGGAUGCCCUCCUGGAAACAGGUCGGGUUGCCCUUCGGGGUGAAACGUACACAGGUGCUGCAUGGCUGUCGUCAGCUCGUGCCGUGAGGUGUCGGGUUAAGUCCCGUAACGAACGCAACCCUUGCCCUUAGUUACAUGUGUCUAAGGGGACUGCCCGGGACAACUGGGAGGAAGGUGGGGAUGACGUCAAGUCAGCAUGGCCUUUAUGUCCAGGGCUACACACACGCUACAAUGGCCGGUACAAUGGGUCGCCAAGCCGUGAGGCGGAGCCAAUCCCCCAAAGCCGGUCUAAGUUCGGAUUGUGGGCUGCAACUCGCCCAUAUGAAGCUGGAGUUGCUAGUAACCGCGCGUCAGCAAUAGUGCGGUGAAUACGUUCCCGGGCCUUGUACACACCGCCCGUCACGUCAUGGAAGCUGGCAACACCUGAAGCCAGUGAGCUAACCCGCAAGGGGGGC